rnacentral:misc_RNA from 1 species
UUUGUUUGUUGAAGGUUGGUUAGUCAGGGGAAGUUGUUUUUUCCCUUAAUCUUUUCAAAAUAGGAAAUAUGGAAUUAAUAUCAAAUUUGCUUGGUAGUAUAUUCCUGGAUUUGUUGUACACUAUUUGGUAGAGGGUACGGAAAGUGAUGUUAAUGCUUAACUUUGUUUGGGAAAGGAGUGAAACAAGAAGAAAAAAGUGAUGUUAACUCUUGUUUGUGAAAAGAAAUGAGAAAAAGAGGAGAAGAUUAUUUAAGGUUUUCCCAUUGCCUUUAAUUUGCUUCAGAACUUUGAAAAUCCUUAUCCACCUAUUGGGCAAGGGAGGUAAAGUAAGUUUCGCUUUAGUGAAGUAUUUUAUUUUAUUUAAUCAAUUCUUACCUUUACUUUUUCUUUGAGAAUCCAAG